rnacentral:rRNA from 1 species
UACAGAGGUCUCAAGCGUUGUUCGGAUUCAUUGGGCGUAAAGGGUGCGUAGGCGGCGCGGUAAGUCGGGUGUGAAAUUUCGAGGCUUAACUUCGAAACUGCAUUCGAUACUGCCGUGCUUGAGGACUGGAGAGAAGACUGGAAUUUACGGUGUAGCGGUGAAAUGCGUAGAUAUCGUAAGGAAGACCAGUGGCGAAGGCGGGUCUCUGGACAGUUCCUGACGCUGAGGCACGAAGGCCAGGGGAGCAAACGGG